GUCGUGAGAUGUUGGGUUAAGUCCCGCAACGAGCGCAACCCUUGUCCCUAGUUGCUACGCAAGGGCACUCUAGGGAGACUGCCGGUGACAAACCGGAGGAAGGUGGGGAUGACGUCAAGUCCUCAUGGCCCUUAUGGGUAGGGCUUCACACGUCAUACAAUGGACGGUACAGAGGGUAGCCAACCCGCGAGGGGGAGCCAAUCCCAGAAAGCCGUUCGUAGUCCGGAUUGCAGUCUGCAACUCGACUACAUGAAGUCGGAAUCGCUAGUAAUCGCGGAUCAGCAUGCCGCGGUGAAUACGUUCCCGGGUCUUGUACACACCGCCCGUCACACCAUGGGAGCGGGGUGCACCAGAAGUAGGUAGGCUAACCGCAAGGAGGCCGUUUACCACGGUGCGCUUCGUGACUGGGGUGAAGUCGUAACAAGGUAGCCGUAUCGGAAGGUGCGGCUGGAUCACCUCCUUUCUCGGAACAGCCCGAGUUUUAGUACCCACAACCUAUCGGUUGCGAGCGGGUGGCGGCAGUUGGCCACUUGCGUCAGGCAACCAAACGGCGGGCCUGUAGCUCAGUUGGUUAGAGCACCGUCUUGAUAAGGCGGGGGUCGAUGGUUCGAAUCCAUCCAGACCCACCACUGAAGAUGCGGGGCUGUAGCUCAGUUGGGAGAGCACCUGCUUUGCAAGCAGGGGGUCGUCGGUUCGAUCCCGUCCAGCUCCACCAACUCGAGACCAAAGCUAAGCCUGUGGGUUUAGCUCUGGUUUUUUGAAUCAGAGAAUCGGUUGUUCUUUAACAAUUGGGAAGAAGUAAAGCAAGCUUGCCGGACGGGCGGGUGUGGCGCAAGCCAUGGCCGGACGCGAGGCAAGCUGGGUUGAUUGUAUUGAGCCCGUUGUUCCUUGAAAGGGGGGUGGCGGGUAGCGCAAACACCCGUGACGCGUGGUUAGCGUUAUGGGGUCAAGCGACUAAGUGCAUGUGGUGGAUGCCUUGGCGAUCACAGGCGACGAAGGACGUGGCAGCCUGCGAAAAGCUGCGGGGAGCUGGCAAACGAGCAUUGAUCCGCAGAUAU
rnacentral:sRNA from 1 species